UACGUAGGGGGCUAGCGUUGUCCGGAAUCAUUGGGCGUAAAGCGCGCGUAGGCGGCCCGGUAAGUCCGUUGUGAAAGUCAAAGGCUCAACCUUUGAACGCCGAUGGAUACUGCCGGGCUAGAGUCCGGAAGAGGCGAGUGGAAUUCCUGGUGUAGCGGUGGAAUGCGCAGAUAUCAGGAGGAACACCGAUAGCGAAGGCAGCUCGCUGGGACGGUACUGACGCUGAGGCGCGAAAGCGUGGGGAGCGAACAGG
rnacentral:rRNA from 1 species